GGAUAUAGCUCAGUUGGUAGAGUGCCUGCCUCACAUACACGAGGCCCUGCAUUCGAUCCCCAACACCA
rnacentral:tRNA from 1 species